GUGGUACAAGAAAACCCAUCAAGACAAGACUUAUCUGUUUUGACAAGAACAGCUCUCAGUUUCCUACCUUCCAAAUCCCUAUUCCCAUGAGCAAAGGGCAUUGGACAGCUGUGCGGGACACCAGAGAGCAAGAUCAGUUUGUGAAGCUCUCAUCUCUGAAACACACUCUUCAACUUUAGAUGACGCUCUCCUAUGGAACAGCACUAACAGUCAACAGAGAAUCAGCAGCAAAUAUCAACAACUAAUCUUUCUCUUUUGAAGAAACAGUCCUACAUAUCACAGAGGUUUCAAAGCCAAUGAUGAAACAAAAACCCCGAAGCUAUAGUCCAUUUACCUGUAGCCCUGACAGCCUCGAAGAAUAAAAGCACUCAAGAGCCUUGAGUUACUAUCUUUAA